rnacentral:rRNA from 1 species
UACCAGCACCCCGAGUGGUCGGGACGUUUAUUGGGCCUAAAGCAUCCGUAGCCGGUUCUACAAGUCUUCCGUUAAAUCCAGCUGCUUAACAGAUGGGCUGCGGAAGAUACUAUGGAGCUAGGAGGCGGGAGAGGCAAGCGGUACUCGAUGGGUAGGGGUAAAAUCCGUUGAUCCAUUGAAGACCACCAGUGGCGAAGGCGGCUGCCAGAACGCGCUCGACGGUGAGGGAUGAAAGCUGGGGGAGCAAACCGG